rnacentral:lncRNA from 1 species
CCCAGGCUGGGAGAGCAGGCUUGUGUUAAACAUUACUUAAUCUUUAUGUGCUCCCUGCCUGAAUCUACCAGCCAGCGAAUGACAACUGACUGAGUAUAAAUACUAGGACUACAGAACCGUGAUAAAAGGAGCCUGAGCUGAGUCCACACACUGGAAGCCCAGAACUGAGGGAACAGAUGAAAGAAAGAAAGUCAGCAGGUUUAGGGGAUGAGAACAACUCACAAAGGACAAGCCAUUGGAGUCUCCUGCCCCUGGCCAGGGAGAGCCACAGGCUGGAUGACAUCUGGUUUAUAGUGAGGGGCAGCAGCAACUCCAAGAGGGGGAAGAUGUGACCAUGAGCCCCGCCCCAGACCCAGGAGGCUUGACCUUGGGGCUGCCGUAGCAGUGGAUGCUCUUCAGCUGAAUGACCUAUCCUGGGCCCGUGACCCUGGACUUCAGCCAGAUCAGCAUCUCAAGCUCCCACCCAGGUGGCCUGUCCUCACGGGCCUUGGAGUGGAGACUUGAGCCACCACCUGUCAGAGGUGGAGACUUCACAGGCACAGCUGGAGCCAAGAAUCCUGGUGCCCAAUUGUCUGUGACUGCAACUGGAUCAAGGGUUUGACUGUGGCUAUGGCUUAGCCAGGCGGGAUGUUUCCUCCACCACCUGCAGCUUCACAACCAACGGUGAUCCUGGGAACCAAUGGCCCUUCCAAGAGCUGGGUUGAGAGCCUUCCCUUGAAUGAAGAACCCUCCCCAGCUGGAAGGUGAUGCUAUUGAAGGCUCAGCUGACAACAUACAUGGGCAUCAAGUCAUUGGCCACAUUCAUGCCUCAAGUGUCCUAAAACCGAAGAUGAUCAAAAGAAAACUGCUGUUCAGCAAGUGGAGACUGGCAUGCAGAUUCCCUGGCCUGCAAGCUUAGAGCAGGAAGAUACUAAAUGCUGCUGGAACAAUGAAAAGAAAGAACGGAUGUCACAAAAAGCAUUUUCAUUUGAUGAAUAGAACUAAAAGAGCAAAGCAAUUGAAAGCUCAACACAACACAGGAGGGAUCCAUGGCUGAGGAUUGUAUUUCAGAACCACUGACUGCUCUUGACAAUUGUUAACCCACUAGGCUCCUUUGGUUAGAGAAGCCACAGUCCUUCAGCCUCCACUUGAUACCAAUACUUAGGAAGACCAAAGCCAGAUGGACAAACAGCAUUGAGAGGCUUUAGCCCUACUCCUCUCAGCUUCCAUCCUGUAGAGAACAGGAGUCAGGAGCUGCUGGCAGGAGACAGCAUGUCACUUGGGACUCUGCCAGUGCAGAAUACGAACAAUGCCAUGUUCUUGCUAAAAAUGCUUAGCUUGAGUUUCAUAGGAGGUAAUCACCAGAUAGACAACUGCAGAAUGUAGAAUACUGAGCAGGACAAUAACCUGUCUCCUUCAGACAGUCCAUGUCACCACGAAUCACACAA